rnacentral:rRNA from 1 species
AACGCGAAGAACCUUACCAGGUCUUGACAUCCUCUGACAAUCCUAGAGAUAGGACGUUCCCCUUCGGGGGACAGAGUGACAGGUGGUGCAUGGUUGUCGUCAGCUCGUGUCGUGAGAUGUUGGGUUAAGUCCCGCAACGAGCGCAACCCUUGAUCUUAGUUGCCAGCAUUCAGUUGGGCACUCUAAGGUGACUGCCGGUGACAAACCGGAGGAAGGUGGGGAUGACGUCAAAUCAUCAUGCCCCUUAUGACCUGGGCUACACACGUGCUACAAUGGAUGGUACAAAGGGCUGCAAAACCGCAAGGUUAAGCCAAUCCCAUAAAACCAUUCUCAGUUCGGAUUGUAGGCUGCAACUCGCCUACAUGAAGCCGGAAUCGCUAGUAAUCGCGGAUCAGCAUGCCGCGGUGAAUACGUUCCCGGGCCUUGUA